rnacentral:rRNA from 1 species
UGGCGGCCAUAGCGCGGUGGUCCCACCUGAUUCCCAUGCCGAACUCAGAAGUGAAACGCCGUAGCGCCGAUGGUAGUGUGGGGGUCUCCCCAUGUGAGAGUAGGGAACUGCCAAGCA